GGAAAUACUGAAUACCCAUGCAUUAUUUGAACGUGUUAGUUUGCAUAAUUGGCUCCAGGGUAUCAAGUUGAAUCUGACUUGGCAGGUAAUCAGCCAUCUCACGCACGCUACCGCAUACCAGUAUUCUUGAAUAAAUUUGUGUUCUUUUCUAAACUGAGGAUGGCAAGGUAGAGCUCCCGGUUUAGAAUAAGGCCCGCAUCCAGCAUUGCCGUUGUCGCCGGCGGCAUACAACAGAAGCCCAGUCCCAAGCAUCAGGACUCUAGAGUCAGUUCGACAUAAGGUCAUGAUAACGUUAUGAUUUUAAUUAUAUGGUUGACUUAAAUCUUGAGAAGAACUUAAAGAAUGUCAGAAUGUUUUCUUCUUAAGGUACUCAUCUCAUCCUUCGCCUAACCUCCUAUCAGAAUGUCAUUAGAAGAGAUGUCACACAUCUAGCUCACUGUCAUAUUAUUCCGUAAACGAAAUUCAGGUAAGCGCAGGCCGCAGAGGUCGACAAGGAACCAGUCUGCGGCCUUGGCCAUUCAUUGGGGUUCGCCAGGAGGCACGCCGGUGCAAGACGAGGCGGCUGAGCCGUCAGUGGCGUUGUAGCCGUUUUCCUUAUCUCCUGCGGCCAUCCCUCGCUCCCCCAAGCUCCACUUCCUACAUCCUCUGCGCCUGCGUCACUCCCUUGCAUUCAAAGGCUCGCAAGCCCCACAUCUGCUGGAUGGCACCAGCACCAAUGAUGCGAUGAUCUGGCUGCCUGCCGCCACCACUCAUCUGCCUCUACUUUGCCCGUGAUCAGGUAGUCCAUGGAAGGGAAUUGUUUUCUUGACUUCACUUGUUUAGCUUUGAUGCUUGGUUCAGAAAAAAUAGGGCUUCAUUGCGGGAAACAGGGGAACUUUAGUUUCGUUGAUAUUUUGAUAUAUGUGUGCUAACUAACAUCCUCUUUUUGAGUAAUUCUUGUUUGAUUAGAAUUCUAUAAUAGAACUCUGUACGAUUUUUACUUCUUCUUGACGGUUUUUUUACAAAAUCACAUUUACGGACUGACGUGGUGUGAAGUUGAGCACCUUACGUCCCUGAAAUCAUGGAAAGGAAAAUCAACAACACCAAUCAAGUGCAUCCACGGCAGUCUAUAGCAUUGGUCCGUAACAAAAAAAAAUCUUUAGGUCCAGGAUUACCGAAGCUAAGCCCUCGACAACGCCAAUGCUUCUCUUUAUGUACUCUGUAUCACAGUUCUGCUGUUCAUGAUGGUGCUGCCUUCAUGAUUUGCCUGUUCGUAAUUUCCUGUGUUUUAACCUACCGACUUCGUUUUGUAAAACAUAAAAGAAUUGUUUACAUUUUUCUCACCUGAUUUUUAUCGUAGCUAUAUAAGCUAUAAAUCGGUAUGGAUUCCAUGGGAACGUGCACCAAGGCAUCACUACCCCAUGUUUGUCACU